rnacentral:lncRNA from 1 species
GGAGGAGGCCAAGAAAGCCCACCACAUGCGUUGGCCCCGGCUGUCGCACGGCACCUCCAUGGUCACCGGUAUGAUGAGCGCAUCCAUCUUGGGCUCGUGGACCGAGGACGAGGAGGAAGAGGAGGAGGAAGAAGAAGAAGAGGAGGAGGAAGAGGAGGAGGAGGACGCGUCUAGGCUGAGAUGGUUCGCGUGGAUAUUGCUGCUCAUUCUAAGACCGCUGCCUCCGCCGCCGCCGCCGCCGCCGCCGCUGCUGCCGCCGCCGCCGCCGCCACCGUUUGCCAUAGCUAGCAAUGGGCGGCAGGCGCAGGGGCUCGAGGGAGCUCCUCCCGCCGCCAGCGCCACCCCGAACACCCAUCAACAGCCAUGUUGCUGCUACUGCUGCCGCUGCCGCCGCCGCCGCGGAGCGCCGGGAGGGGGGCGGGGAGGCGCCUGGGCUCGGGGCGCUGUGCGCGACCUGGCAGGGUGUGCGGAGAUAUAUACAGCCAAGCGCCGCCGCCCGCCCUCCCCCGGGCUGCCGGCCGGCCCGGGGGGGGGAGGGGAUGAGGGAGGGUGGCUCCCACUCCCCGACCCCGGCCCCGAUCGCCCCCGGGGCUGCGCGGAGCACCGAGAGCCCAGGGGGCGCCGCGGGCGGUCCGCGCCCGGGGUCUGUGCCUCCCGAAGCUCCGUGAGCGCGAUCCCGCGUACCCUCGGCGCCGCCCGGCCCGCCUGGCGUGCGCCACGCGUGUGCGCUGCGCCCGGGCCCGGGGUCUCCCGCCCGUCCCCGCACAGCUCUCUCGGGUGAUGAGGCGACAGCUCCUUAGGAUCGGAGAAUCCGCGCCCUCCCGACCGGGCGUGCCCGCGCCACCCUUCCUCCCCGGGGCUGCGCUCCGCUCCUGGAUCGCCGCCUCCUGUGCUCGCGGGGCCGCGGCAGGUUGGUUGCGGCGGUCUGCCCUGCCUCCGCGGCCAGCUAGCCGAUGCUCUGCGGGACCCCUUCGGGCCGGGUCUCUGUGACCCUGAGCUUCCUCGGCCUCCGCUCGCUUCUUCCUCCUUGCCUCCUCGGGCUCCUCCUCGUCCCCGUUCUCGCAGCCCGAGCCUCUUCGGCGCGCGCCCCGCGCGCCCCGCAGCCGCCAGCAGUGGCAGCUGCAGCAACUGGAGCGGGCGCGGGCUCAAACAGCCCGAAGCGGGAGGGGAGGAGGCUUACCGGGCUAACUCGCCUCGGCUUGGGGCUGUGUAGGGGCAGCAGGUCAUUUGGCAGUGGUGGGGCAUGCGGCCCCCCAUCUUCCAGGAUGUAGAGUAUAGCGCCACCAGCCUAGAGAUGCCACGUUGUGAGUUGCUGAUGAACAACUGGGGCAUCUGGAAGUCUGUUGGUAGUCUGUGACCUCUGACAGCUGCAGGUUCCUUUCAAGACUCUUCAUAUGGUAAACUGGCCCAAAGGAGCCUCCUUACCUGAACAAGCUGUCUCGACCUAAAUCAUUGGUCAGCCACACCCUGGCCCUAGGAUACAGAGGGCCAAAGAAGGCCAAGCCUGGCAGACACUGAAAAUAUCCUGGAAAAUGGGAAGAUCUAGAAGUAUCUACAAAUAACCCCAGAGCAUCAUCUCUACCUUCUGUAGGCGUGUCUACAGAUUGGGUAUCUAGAAGGAUUGUACAAGAAAUAAAAGCAGGAGAAAUAAAAGUAGAAACUUAUAGUGAGGCCAUUCAUUUGCCUGUAAAUACAUUUAAUAGCUUCCCAGACUCUUCAGCAAAUGCACAUGUGUCUAUGGUCACCUUCAGAGCAAGCCUGGGUUUUCAAAUCUGUUACCUAUUCUAAGCUGGGUAUUCCCCCAUGGGACUUAAAAGAAGUACAUGAGAGGAAGACCACAAGCACACAAACUAAAAAAACAAAAAUGAAGUCCAGGGAGACUGAAAGGCUGUCUACGCAGAUGUCAGCA